CCUACGGGGGGCAGCAGUGAGGAAUAUUGGUCAAUGGACGAGAGUCUGAACCAGCCAAGUAGCGUGAAGGAUGACUGCCCUAUGGGUUGUAAACUUCUUUUAUAUGGGAAUAAAACGUUCCACGUGUGGGAUUUUGUAUGUACCCUAUGAAUAAGGAUCGGCUAACUCCGUGCCAGCAGCCGCGGUAAUACGGAGGAUCCGAGCGUUAUCCGGAUUUAUUGGGUUUAAAGGGAGCGUAGGUGGAUUGUUAAGUCAGUUGUGAAAGUUUGCGGCUCAACCGUAAAAUUGCAGUUGAAACUGGCAGUCUUGAAUACAGUAGAGGUGGGCGGAAUUCGUGGUGUAGCGGUGAAAUGCUUAGAUAUCACGAAGAACUCCGAUUGCGAAGGCAGUUCACUGGACUGCAACUGACACUGAGGCUCGAAAGUGUGGGUAUCAAACAGGAUUAGAUACCCUGGUAGUC
rnacentral:rRNA from 1 species